rnacentral:rRNA from 1 species
AUGUCCGGCCGUGGCAAUGGCAGGAAGGGGCUGGGCAAGGGUGGCGCCAAGCGUCACCGGAAGGUGCUCCGGGACAACAUCCAAGGCAUCACCAAGCCGGCGAUCCGCCGUCUAGCGAGGAGAGGCGGCGUGAAGCGCAUCCCGGGGCUCAUCUACGAGGAGACCCGCGGCGUGCUCAAGAUCUUCCUCGAGAUCGUCAUCCAGGACGCCGGCACAUACACCUAGCACGCCCGCCGCAAGACCGUCACCGACAUGGACGUCGUCUACACACUCAAGCGCCAGGGCCGCACCCUCCACGGCUUCGGCGGCUGA